GAUUGCCCAACACUUGCUUCAUGCUUCAAGCACAUCAGGGUGCUUUCCACUUCUGGAUGAGCCAAGUGUUUCCUCAGCUUUUCUGCACCUUCCUCUCCAUUGACCUAGAGUGUCUAUGGAACACUCAGAGUGUCCCCUGUGUAAACCACCUACCACAAGAUUAUCAACUUCAGGCAAUGGACCACGCACCAGGAUUCCACCUCUUUCUAGCACCUAUCAGUGUUGCGCACAUCAUAGGCCCUCAACAAACAGGCAGCCACGCUGGGGGAUCCCACAUGGUAAAGAACUGCAGGUGGCCUCUAGGAGAUGAGGGCGGCCUCCAGUCAACAGCCAGCAAGAAACUGAAGUGCUCUGUCCUACAACCUUGUGUAACUGAAUUCUGCCAACAACCUGAGUGAGACUGAAAGUGGAUCCCUCUCCAGUCAUGCCUCAGUGUGAGAGAAACCUGUGACUUGCUUCUAACCCAUAGGAUAUGGCAAGGAACUAGUCAUAUCUGAGAGCAGCCUCCAGAAAACAGUCAGCAAAACACUGAGGUUCUCAAUCCGAUAGUCAAUGAGGAACGGAAUGCUG
rnacentral:lncRNA from 10 species